rnacentral:piRNA from 1 species
UACGAUGGGAACAACUGUAGUGCAGGC